UGAAAUGAGGAUAGUUAUUGUCGCCCCAGUCUUAAUUUACACUAAAAGUGUAAGAUGGUGACUGACUUUUAAAUCUGAUCU
rfam:Cicer arietinum chromosome Ca1, whole genome shotgun sequence.